GAUGAACGCUGGCGGCGUGCCUAAUACAUGCAAGUCGAGCGAAUGGAUUAAGAGCUUGCUCUUAUGAAGUUAGCGGCGGACGGGUGAGUAACACGUGGGUAACCUGCCCAUAAGACUGGGAUAACUCCGGGAAACCGGGGCUAAUACCGGAUAACAUUUUGAACCGCAUGGUUCGAAAUUGAAAGGCGGCUUCGGCUGUCACUUAUGGAUGGACCCGCGUCGCAUUAGCUAGUUGGUGAGGUAACGGCUCACCAAGGCAACGAUGCGUAGCCGACCUGAGAGGGUGAUCGGCCACGCUGGGACUGAGACACGGCCCCGACUCCUACGGGAGGCAGCAGUAGGGAAUCUUCCGCAAUGGACGAAAGUCUGACGGAGCAACGCCGCGUGAGUGAUGAAGGCUUUCGGGUCGUAAAACUCUGUUGUUAGGGAAGAACAAGUGCUAGUUGAAUAAGCUGGCACCUUGACGGUACCUAACCAGAAAGCCACGGCUAACUACGUGCCAGCCGCCGCGGUAA
rnacentral:rRNA from 1 species